UGAGGAACCAGUACACAUUAUAAUCUUAAUAUAAUAUCAGAAUAUAACAAAAUGAAAAAGAUAUUCUUAUCCCACAAGGGGUUAAAAUCCUUAAGUCAAUUAUAUAGUGCAGCAGACAGUGUACCGAUUAAAAUAUUUAUUAGUACAAAUAAACUGUCAACCAAACACACAUAUACAUAAAAGACUAAUAUAUUGCAGAGAUCCCAGAUGUGCAAGCAAUAGAUAUCAGAUUUACAGACUGGGAGUCCAGCGAUGUUAGUGUGACUCUCUUGCUGGCUGGGUAGGAGUGUUUCAGGACCCCCUCGUGCUGCUACAACACUCAAUAUCGACCACGUGCGUUCCACUGCGGCUCUGAAUGCGUGAAGAUGCUGCCUAACGCGUUUCAUGAUUAACAAUCACUUCAUCUGAUGAGGACAGCUUGCUCUUGGCUUGGUAGGUAAUCAGCUUGGAGUAUAUAAGCCCUGUUAGCAGUUAUUUUGGAUUUUAGUUCAAAUUAGCAGGAGCAUGACUUAAGGAUUUUUACCCCUUGUGGGAUAAGAAUAUCUUUUUCAUUUUGUUAUAUUCUAAUUUUAUAUUAAGAUUAUAAUGUGUACUGGUUCCUCACUUUAGAAGUUAUAGAACCUCUACUAGACUAAUACCCAACAGUUUUGGAUCCUUCCCACUUUUCUUUGUGGGGCGUAAGGACCUGACUAGCUGAUACAUUUAUAUCAAGGAUAUAAAUACAUUUUUACUAUUUCUACUCAUAAUUUGUAUAUCCAUUUCCUCUGAGUCCUGUCUACGCUAUUGGUUUACUUCAAUAUACACUCAGAAUUUUGACAUUUUUAACCCAGGGUGGUGGUUAUUUUAGACAGUGAUACAGUGGUUAUGGUAGUCUAAUUUGGUCUCUAACUUUAACCUAAGAAGGCUACUCUACCAUUUUUUUUGGUGUUUAUCCAUCCUGUAGUUUAUUAUUUACUUUUUUUUAAUUAUUAUUUGCAACUUUUUUUUUUGGAUUUUCAAAUGCAAUGAGAUGAACGAACAGUAGAUCUGCCACUCGUGUGGGAUGUGAAAGCAGAAAUAAAGUAGUAAAGUAGUGAAACGUAUCUAUGGUAGAGUAGUUAAACAUGUCCCAGUGAGGAGAGUGCAGGAAUGGCUAACAGCAUUGUCAAAAAAUGGAUGCCAUGGUUAGUUGGCCCACUCCUCCCUCCCUUUAUUGACGUUUGUGUCAGAAUUGUACCCAUGGGGACCAUGCAUAGAGAUGUGGGAUAUUUUAGGGAUUUGCCAAUAACUUCUAGUUAGUAAACAGUCUUUACUGGUAACAUUAACAUUUUACAGUGCAUAAAAGGUCUUUUUUUUCCACUAAAUUGAUAUUUUUAAGAUAUAUAAUUCAAUGUUUUUGCUACUGAAACUUCAAUAUUUAUACUUGAGCAAAUAAAAGCUAUGUUUUAAUACAAAC